CUGUAAUGGCUAACCUCCGGCACUCCAGCUGUGGUAAAACUACAACUCUCAACAUGUACACUUGCUUGGCUGUUUUUAGAACUCCAUAGAAAGGAGUACAGCAUGCAGGGAGUCGUGGUUUCACCACAGCUGGAGUGCCGGAGGUUAGCCAUCACUG